rnacentral:lncRNA from 1 species
AUAUAUAUAUUCUUUGUCAAACUUAUCAUCUUGACCCACUCCAAUUUAGAGUAUUACCCAAGAUCUUACAAGUUCCAUCACCUAUUUAUAUUUGAGAAAAAUGUAAAUAAUUAUUUUGUUCAGUGUAGUUAUGUCAAACAAAAGCAAAAAAAAAACUUGUUGUUUAGAAAAAACAAUAAUAGAUGAAAUCCACUUUGCAACUUCCAAAAAAAAAAAAAAUCUCUACAUUUUUCUCAAACAUACACUUUGUUUUCCUUAUUUCCUCUCUUGUGUUAGCCAUGUCUCUAACCUAUGUUACGUCCUAAUAAAAGUCCUUUUUGAUUUUAGGGAACUAUAGUCUGAAGUAGAAACUAGUUAUAUGGGCUAAAAAGAUAUAGCGGUGCAUAAAAAAUAAAUAAAUAAAUUGGGUUGACUAGUAUUUUUAUUUAACUUGAUAUCGUAUUAUUUCUAAGCUGAGGGCAUAUUUCUUUCAUCUUGGUGAGAGCAUGUGAUAUCACUUCUUUAUUAUUUUCUCUCAAUUACCAUUCAUUGGAGUGACUAUUUUUAUUGGGUUUAAUUUCUUUGUGAGAGUGUCACUACUUCCAGUGAGAUUUUGGGCUUUGACAUGUCAUUCUUGAAAGUAGCUAUGACAAUGUCUACUGGGCUGAUUCAUGUGGAUGGUUGAUGUGGGUGUGAAUGUUUUUUUAGACUGGAGAUAAUGCUUAUACUUUUAUUUGAUUACUAUCAUUAGUCUGAUUGAAUAAACAUGAUUGUUUAAAAAAAAAUCAUUUUGGAUUUGAAUUUUGUUUUCGCUUUAUUUGCUAGGGACUAGCAAUAAGCUGGUUGGGGUGUGUGUUGAGUGUUAGAAAAUGUAUAUUUAUAAAGGAGAAAAUCAUCAUUUUACACUUCAAGUUUUACUAACACCCUUACUUUUAUGUAUUUAAGCUUCUUGUCAUUUAAUUAUGUGUGUUAUAUUAUAAUGAAGUAUUUUAUGUAUUUUAAGGGCAUCAUAGUUAUUUCACAAUGAACGAGAGAUCAGACGGCAAAACGGACAUCACUUUUAAACUCAGGACAGUCGAAAACCUUAGGAGGAGUAAAAAAGGAAAAAUGGCAUUGUUCAUAUGUACGAUAUUAUUCACAUGUACGGUACUGUCUACGUUACUGUUCACGACACUGUUCACAUAGACGAAUCGAUGACAUGGCAUUGAUCGAUGAUGUGAUAUUGACUGAUGAGGUGUCACGAUCCUGUUAGACUAAAAUUCUUAUGCAUUGUUGAUUGGUGAUGUGGCAGCAUGUUAGUGGAUCAAAAAUUACUCGUACGGUACAUGCAUAUACACAGGAUUAUUUUCAACCAAACUGCGUUACUGUUCAAGCCGGGUCACUGUUCAAACCGCGUGGUCAAACCACGUACUAUUGACUGAUAACGUGGCGCAAUCCUGAGUGUCCAAACUGUUUUUAAUCCGAUGGCCAUGAUUUACUCAAUAUAUCUAUAAAAAGGGGGCCUCCCCCCUAAUUUGAUAUCUCUGAAUCCAUUUUUGGACUCCAUUUUUUAUAAUUCCUUCUCCAUCUUGUAUUUUCUACGUAUUUUAAUAAAUUUUCGUUUUGCUCUUAUUUCAAUUAUGAGUAGCUAAUUUUCUUUCAAGCUUGGGUUGAGGUGAAGUCUCAACAUGUGUCAUGGGCUUUAAUUGGUAAAUUUACUUUCUCUUCCCCUCUAGUUUUUGUGGAUGUUUUGACUUUUCGUCAACAAAUAAUAAUAAUCUUGUCUAGAUACCGCCUUGGUUUCACCAACUUCCUAUUACAAAGUUAUUAUUAUUUGGCAUGAUAAGCCCUUAUCACCAUAUUAAUUAGAGUGUGGUUCAUAAAAUGUGGAUUUUCCCCUCAUGAUUUAAUUGGCAUUAAUAAGGAAUAUUUAGCCCAUUGUGCAUGUUGAUACGGAUCUAAAUACCCAAGUACGUUAUUUUAAUAGAUUUUUCUUCAAUUUAUUCUCGCCAUUUCAAUUCCAAUUUCAAGAUAAUCUAAGUCACUUUCACCACAAAUCCAACCACCCUCAUACAAAAUUAAUUCUACAUAUAAUUAAAAUCCACCUCCUCGUGGGAUCGACACUCGUCUCGAUUAAUCUAUUUUACAAUAGAUUUGUGCACUUGCGAGUUUAAUAAAAUUUGCACAACAAGUUUUUGACGUCGUUGCCGGGGAAGUAAGUUAUUUUAAUUCGUAGAAUUAAUUUUUGUGAAUAAU